GCAGGGGUAGCCAAGCUAGGCCAACGGCGCAGGACUUAAGAUCCUGUGGUGAAGUCCUUCGGGGGUUCAAAUCCCUCCCCCUGCA
rnacentral:tRNA from 1 species